GUUGUUCGGAAUUACUGGGCGUAAAGCGUAUGUAGGCUGUUUUGUAAGACAGGUGUGAAAUCCCCGGGCUUAACCUGGGAAUUGCAUUUGUGACUGCACGACUAGAGUGUGUCAGAGGGGGGUGGAAUUCCACGUGUAGCAGUGAAAUGCGUAGAUAUGUGGAGGAACACCAAUGGCGAAGGCAGCCCCCUGGGAUAACACUGACGCUCAUGCACGAAAGCGUGGGGAGC
rnacentral:rRNA from 1 species